rnacentral:rRNA from 1 species
UACGUAGGGUGCGAGCGUUGUCCGGAAUUACUGGGCGUAAAGAGCUCGUAGGUGGUUUGUCGCGUUGUUCGUGAAAACUCACAGCUCAACUGUGGGCGUGCGGGCGAUACGGGCAGACUUGAGUACUGCAGGGGAGACUGGAAUUCCUGGUGUAGCGGUGGAAUGCGCAGAUAUCAGGAGGAACACCAGUGGCGAAGGCGACUACCUGGCCUGUUCUUGACGCUGAGGCGCGAAAGCUAGGGGAGCAAACGGG